UACGUAGGUGGCAAGCGUUGUCCGGAAUUAUUGGGCGUAAAGCGCGCGCAGGUGGUUUCUUAAGUCUGAUGUGAAAGCCCACGGCUCAACCGUGGAGGGUCAUUGGGAACUGGGGAACUUGAGUGCAGAAGAGGAAAGUGGAAUUCCAAGUGUAGCGGUGAAAUGCGUAGAGAUUUGGAGGAACACCAGUGGCGAAGGCGACUUUCUGGUCUGUAACUGACACUGAGGCGCGAAAGCGUGGGGAGCGAACAGG
rnacentral:rRNA from 1 species